GUCAUUAGUAAGAAUGGGCUGGUACAUGUAUAACAAAACUUUGUGUCUGAAAUCAUCUUAAAUACAUUUUCUACAAAACAGGCAUUUAUACAACUGCAAACAAUUUUAAGUUCAUUAGACCACAUUCAUUCUGUGUCAUAAACCUAUGCUGUGUCAACUAUUUAAUCACAAUCCAAAUUCAGAGCUAUAUCCAGCUUGAUUGUUGUGUCCAUCUUGCCAACGUUCAGGUUUGACCUCUGCGGUCGUAUAAAGCUGCGCCCUGUGGAGCAUCUGGUUGAUAUUUGAUGUGGUAAUUUUGUCUCAUAUAUAUAACAAAUAUAUAACCAAUAAACUACUUCUUGAAUUGAACACCAUUAAAGAAAAGUCGAAUGGUCAAUACACAUACCAGGAUGUUCUCAACUGGAUAUCAAGUCUUUGUGGAAAAGAAAAUGUUACCAACAAAAGCUUAUAUUUAAAGGUAAAGUCAAUACUGCUGAAAAUCAAGACAACAGUUUCAAAGCUGAAAAAAAGCAAACAUAAUAGUGAACAUGUUGAAAAUUAUUUAAAUUUGGUGAUAGAUACUGAUACAUUAUUGGAAAUUCCACACAGUUCAAGAAUAAGGAAGC
rnacentral:lncRNA from 1 species